GGCCCGGGGCUGCUCCGGGGCGGGCGGGCGGCGGCGGCGCGGCGCUAACGGCUCCGCUCGGCCUCGGUAGCGGUGGCGGCGGCAGCGGCGACGGCGACGGCGGCGGCGGCUCCUCCUCAGCGCGCACGACCCGCUCCGGCCCGCGGCCCGGACACGCCCCCCCGGCGCGCGCGCCCAUUGGUCGAUGUCCUCCACGGCGCGCUCUUCAUUGGUCGGCGUGCCUGUCGCGGCACCCUAGGGCGCGCGGCGGAGGCGGGACUUCCUGUCGGCGCCGCCUGCGAAGAGCUCGGCGGCCGGCGGAGACGCGGGUGGCCAGCGAUGGCCGCGGAGGGGGCGAGCUAGGGCCAAGUCCACAGAGGCCGACUAGAGAUAGCGGCCGAGGAUUGGGGGUUCUUGUCGGACGUAUGCCGCGUGCCCCUCAUCUGUCUGUUCCGCCGCCUCCCAUCAAGGACUCAGCAGUCACAUGUUGCCAGUGGCUACUAUAUUGAACUAUGCAGUGCUACAUGGGGAGACAGAAGAGAAAGCAAGUGGAUGCCAUCUCAAGUGAUGAAAAGGGACCAUAUCCAGGAUCCCACGUUACAUGCAAUUUGAUUGUCCUAUCUGAUCUACUCUUGCCUGGGGCCGAUUCUCUGAUUCUCCUUAUUUUUGAUGACCUUGACAGUUUUGAGGAAUGCUACUCAGGUAUUUUUUAAGAUGCUCCCCUCUUGGAAUUUGUCAUGACAAGACCAUGAUGGUGGGUUAUUGGCAGUAAGACUAAAGUGGCAAACUGCCCUUUUCAUCACGUCGUAUCCAGGUACCUCCCGUCAACAUCGUUUGUAUCUGUUGAUGUCAGCUUUGAUCACCUGACUGAGGUAGUAUUGUCCGCUUUUUCCACCAUAAUUACUUCCAUCGCUUUCCUUAUCGUAUGCUUUGGAAGGAAGUCGGGAUGUGCAGCCCACACCUAGGACAUGAGGGGUUAUGCUCUGCCUCCUAAGGGUGAAUACCUACAUAACGAAUCAUUGAGACUCCUUCUCUGUUCAUUAGUUCAUUCCGUCAUCUAGUUAUAUUGGUGUGGACUCGUAGGUAUUUAUUUUAUGCUUUAGGUUAUAACUCAGCACUACAUUUUUGUUGCUCAACCUGUUCCAGCUCUGGCCAUCUUUUGGCUCUUUUGGCUCCUGUGACCCAUGGGGUAUUCCCAUCAUUGAGUAUUUUGUGUAUUUGGUUCCUUCGGCCUCUUCACAGCAUUUCCUCACUCCCUGGCUCUAUAAGAUGAUGCAGUCUCAGCCUGUGUAUUUCUUGUUGCAGUCCUGGAAUCAGCCACUUCUGUAAGGGACCCUGGUUCCUUUUUCAGAGAAUGGUAUUAGAAAUUGAGAUCUCGCUCUGGGAGUGCCCGUUGCUACGGGGCAUUGUUUCUUUCAGCUCAUCAAUACUUUUUAUUUUUUUUAUUUAUUUAUUUUUUUUGCGGUGCUGGGGAUUGAACCCAGGGCCUUGUGCUUAUGAGGCAAGCACUCUACCAACUGAGCUAUCUCCCCAGCCCUCAUCAAUACUUUUUAACCACCCACAGCAUGUGAGGUGUAAAGUGCUCAGCCUCAGGGACACAACAGUGACUGUGCUGCAUGUGGCAUCUGACCUCGUGGACCUCAGCCAACUUGAGGAGGCAGGUUUGAGAGGGGAGCUGCCACUCUCACUAGCUAUGUUGCCUUAGACACAUUGUUUAAUCUCUGAGCUUUAGCCUCCUACUCCAUAAAAUGGGGAUGAUUGUAGUACUUCCUGUGGGCACUGUGAGAAUUAAAUGAAAUAACCCAUUUUUAGAAAUUCUGGAACAGAGCCUGGCAUGAAGUACUUAUUAUGUCUUAUUAACAGUAACAAUGAGUUUCACAAAUGAUUAUAAUCUGCAUAGGCCAGAGUUCCAGGAAAGCAUGCAAUAGGAAGAGCUAACUGAUUUGGGGGUGUCUGAGAAGGCUUUCCACAUUAGUAGUAUUGCAGCUGAGGCAUGAGGAGGGAGAAUAUUUCAGGCAGAAAAAAAUAGCAAAUGCAAGGGCCCUGAGGCAAGCAGGAGCCCAGCACCCUUAGGAGUAAGAAAAGGCCAACUGUGGAGACAUAGGCCUCAGAGGAGACCUAUAGAACUGACAGGGGCAGGUCAAAUGAGGCCUGUGAUGAGUUAGGACCCUAUCCUGAGAGCAAGAGAACUGACUUGGCCCUGUACACGCAUCUGGUAAGGGCAGAGUGGUGAUUUGAACCUAGUUCUGGUCAGUCUCGGAGAUCUUUAUUUUGCUUGUUGGAAUUUGAGAUACAAAGUCCUUGUUUUCUGUUUUGUAUUUGUUUUUGUUUUUUUGUCAGAAGAGCAGUUUCAGCCCUCAAGGGUAGGAAUCAGCAUAUACUCCAGCCAGAGUUGUUCCAGGUUGUUCUUGCUGUCCCUGAAAGUCACAGUCUCUUCCUUUAGCACAAGCUGUAAAAAGGCUCUGUAAGGUCAAGAUACACAGAAACGACCCAGUUGGGACCCUUCUCUCGAGGACACUGUUGCCCUGAGGGAGAAACAGGAACAUUGAAACACAAAUCCAUCUAGUGUGACAAGGGACAGGCACAGAUAGACCUCUGGUGGAGGGUAGUAGCUGAGCCAGAUUAAAGAAUAAGGGAGGGUCUGCCAGCAGAGAAGGUGGGAAGCUGGGACUGGCAGGAGCAGAGAUACAGAUUUGUCCAGGACGAUCAUUCAGGUUCAGGGAUGGAGGUUUCGAGAGGAGGAGGGAGUGAUUUGGGACUAGAGAGUCGCCUGUCCCCUGCUUUGAAGGGCCCCAGAGAGUCAGAAAAGUUAGAACAUUAUCCUAUCAGCAAAUAAUUACAUGACUAUGCCCAUACCUGUUUUUGUAUAGCCUAGAGCUAAAAAUUAGCUUUAUAUUUUCAUGUGGUUGGAAAAAAAAGAACAGUUAGUAUUUUGUGACAUAUAAAAAUUAGAUGAAAUGCAAAUUGCAUUGUGCAUAAAAUUUGACAGUAACACAACCAUGCUGCUCCCCUGUAUGUUGCCUGUGGCUGCUCAGAGCUACGGGAGCAGAGGUGAGGUUGCCCUGGCAGGGCCUGUGUCACAAGUGUGCAAACUGUGUGUGAAACUCACCAUUUUGAAGUUUUUAAUAAUUUAUGAAUAUAGGGCCCCACACUUUGGAAAAUUAUGUAGCCAGUCCUAGCAACAGAGACCAUGUGGCACACAAAGCAUCAAAUAUUUGCUCUAGGACCCUUUCCAGGAAAAGUUUGUAGAUCCCUGCUGUGGUUGGCAGAAAAAUGGUCCCCAAAGAUGUCUACAUCCCAACCCCCUGGAACCUGUGACCAUGUGACCUCACACAGCAAAAGGGACUGUAAAGUGCUUGGAGUAAGGAACUUGAGAUUGAAAGAUGAUCCUGGGUCAGCGGGGCUCAGUGUCACCACAGGGUCCUCCUAAGAGUGAGGCAGGAGGGUCAGAGGUAGAGAGGAACUGGAAGAUGCAGCAUUGCUGGUUCUGAGAUGGAGGAAGGGGUGCGGGCUCUUCUAGAAGCUGGAAAAGGCAGGAUGUGGGUUCACCCCUGGAGUCACCAGGAGGCACCAGACUUGUCAGCAUCUUGAUUUUAGCCUGGUGAGACUAAUUUCAGACUUUCGAAGUCCAGGGCUGUAGCAUAAUAUGUGUUAUUGUAACCUGCCAAGGUUGUAGUAAUUAAUCACAGCAGCAGUAAGGAAUAAUAGGCAAAAAGCAACUGAAAGAAUUUAUCAUUUAGCCAAGAGAAUUUUUAAAUGUGAGACGUACAUGAUAUUUUUCUUUCUUUAUUGGAAGGGAACAGGGCAAGCAUGGAAUUCAAUCUGAGGAGAGAGGCUCUCUGACUGAGGAGUGUCAGCACAGGGAAAGCUAGGGAGUCAUGUGGGGUGUGGAAAGAAGGAGGUAGAGUUCAGAUGUUCACAUUGGGCUUGGUGACCAGUGGAGAAGGUGGCAGUCAGAUCAAUUAAAUACAGAGAUAAGGGGAAAAGUCAUUGUAUCUCAACCAUUUGUAGAUCUCAGUAUGUGGGUUGGGGUGUCUUGGGGGACAUCAGAAAUGAGUGUAAGGGUCAGGUGAUCAGUUCACUGGUCAGCCUCCAAACAAAGCUGAGGUGUAACAGCAGGAUGCCCAUUCUGGGAACAGAAGCCAGGCAAGCUCAAACAAGCCCAAAGAACCUUCAGGAAGGCUCAGGUUCUUUGGGGACCUGACUUAAAACUGAUUCCUCCUCAAGUGCCAGUAGUCACAGGGGAAAAUAGGAAGCUUGAGUUGACUUUUAGGUUAGCAACAGUGUGGAGCUGUUGCCUGAUGAAGUCACCACCUGAGAAGCAGGUAGCCUCAGAGUCCCAGCCUUCCAGGCGAACACCUUUUGCCAUUCCUGUUUGUGCACAGUGUGACCCAAAGGGGUUGGCCUGGAGCAGACACAGAAACGCUGGAUUUCCUUCAGGAGUUCCUGUGCUAAUCAAUCCAUUCCCUGAGCUCAGUGUGCUUGUCUGUAAUGGCAGGUGUUACAGCCACCCUGCGACCCAUGCAAAGCAGAGAGGAAGCAGAGCACUUGACACACCAUCACAGCACCCGUCCAGUAAACAAAACUGUGGUCAACGUCCCCAAGAGCAGCAAGGGCUGCUCCACCUCUUGUCUCACAGUUACCUCCCUAAGUAAACAUGGCUCACUGAUCUGAGCCAGUCUUGGAAGUUUUGUUUUCCAGUUCUUCCCACUGGAUCCAGCCUAUAGUACUUCUACCCAGUGUCUUUCUGGGGAGAACAGCAGUGGGCAUUUUCUCUCUUUAGAGUCAAACGAUAGGAAAAGCCCCAGAGCUCCUGGCUCCUAGGGUCAUGGAGUGGCCCAGUCUGCCCUGUUGUAUUGACAGUGACCACAUUCACUCAGCAUUCCCGGGUGGACCAUAAAUUAAUAAAUCACACUCCCACCCUCCCUGCUUCUGCAGGGACUUACUUGGCAGGAGCCCCUACCACUCUCUGUUUAUGAGCUUCCUGUUUUGUUUUUGCAUCCAACUUUACUUUUUCAUCUCACAAACUCCCUUUCUUGUAGUGUCUCUCACUGGUCUACAUGUAUUUGUUGGCUUUUUGCAGUGCUCCUUGGUAUCUUUAAGUGAAAAUUCAGUGGUUUCUAAACCACAGAGGAGUGCAACUGCCACCACUAUCUCAUUCCAGAACAUUCUCAUCUCUCCAGAAAGAAACCCUGUGUCCCUUAGCUGUCAUUCCCUGUCACCCCCCUACAGCUGCUGGCAACAGUUAAUCUGCUUUCUGACUGUGCAUGGCCUCUUCUGGAUACUUUGUAUAAAUGGAAUCUUAUAGUAUGUGGCCUUUUUUCACUGAGCAUGAUGUCCUCAGGGUUCACCCAUGCUGUAGUGUGUCACUGGUUCAUUCCUUUUUAUGGCUAAAUAAUAUUCCACUGUAUGGGUGGACCAUGUUGUGUUUAUCCAUUCAUCCAUUGCAGGACAUUUGGGCUAGUUCCACCUUUUAACUUCAGGGACUAGUGUUGCUAUAAACAUUCAUGUACAAGUUUCCAUGUGAACAUAACGUGUUCAUUUUUCUUCCGUAUAUUCUAUCUAGAAGUGAAACACAUGAGCACUCUCUUUUGUUUUUUUGGUUUUUGGUUUUUCUUAAUGCUAGGAAUGGAACCCAGAGCCUUGUGUGUUAGGCAAGUGCUGUGCCACUGAGCUGCACCCCAGCCUUUAUUUUCCACUUUUUGAAGAACUUCCGGGCAGGUUUUUCCAGUCUUUAUUUAUAAACGAGAGAUGAAACCUUCACAUGCCUUUCAGUCGCUGGUAAGCAGUCAGUUUACCACUUGAAUGUCUUCAUCCUAGGCUAGAGAAGUAGCUCAGUGGUAGAGUUAUUUCUCUACCAUUGCAAGGUAUGUGCAAGGCCCCGAGUUCAAUCCUCAGCACCCCAAAGAAAGGAAGAAGGGAGAGAGAGAGAAAGGAAUUCUAGCUUUGUUCCUUAUCCAGCAACCCAGGGGAAGCACCCACAAGCACUGGUCAAGGAGCCAGAAUCCUGGGAGUUUGGACACCCCCUUCUCUUGUAAAUGAAGCUGACCUGGAACUCUGGUGGAAGGACCAUCCACCAUACAUUAGGGGCUCAGCCUUAGCGAGGGGCCACCUGCAAAUCCAGAGACUGACCAGGGUAACUGCACCCUUACAGCAGGAACAAGACAAGGACAGGGACCUAGGAGCAGGCAGCUGGAUUGGAUGUGCCCAGGUGGGAGCAGCAGCCAUCCCCCGAGAUCAGCUUUCCCACUCCCAGAGGUAGCGACCCAUGGAUUUGCCAGAGCUUACUUGCAAGAUGGCUGCAAGCAUUCUUCCCUGGGGAAGAAUGAGCACUUGGGAUGCGGCCAGGUUCUGCCCUACCCUGGCAACUUCCAUUCUCAGUGCAUCUCAAGACCCUCCCAGUCCCUCAGACGGGAGACCAGAAAGUGCAGAUCAAAAGCCAUAGCCAGAGCAUUUCUUGGAGCACUCCCGAGGCUCACCCCCAAGUGUUCAGAAUAAAGAGAAAGUAGCAUUAAAAGCUCGUGCAGGAGCCAAAGGGGCAAAGGUCAGGAACAGUAACUCACUGAAGAAGAGGAGUCAACUAACCUGAUCCUGGGUUAGCAAGUUGCCAAGGCGGGAGCCCAUGAGCGGGAUUGGUCAAGGCAAAGUCUCACUCCAACACAGGCAGGACCCACACUCACUUUCCUAAGGGGUGGCACCCACUUUACUCAGAGAGACCUUUUGAUGGACAUUUACCCACCAUAUCAUAGGGUUCAUGAUCUAACAGUGAAAAUUAUCCCUAGCCACUGGUGAAAGGGCUAUCCACAGGAAGGUGUGUCUUACCAUCUUUAAUAGAUCACCUUCAAGUGGUGUCUAGCUCAAAGCCCAGGGAUGGGACUGGUUUGGUGAGUCACAGGUCCGCUAGAAACUACAGUUAGGAGGCCUACAGCCACAUGGAGUCAUAGUGGCUCCCAGGCCUUGGACCAGGUGCAGUCCAGAUGCCCCUCAACCUACACUUGCUCACAUGCUCUGACUCUCAGAAAAGUGGCCAAAGCGGGCAGGGGCUGGGAUCAGCAGACCCUGGAACUUGUGCACCGAACCCUCAACGCUCCACUGCACAUGACGUAAGAGAAAGGAGCAUGGCCCCAAGUAGCAACUGCAACCUGCAUGGCCUCUACUUGUGGCUCCCAAAGGUAAGGAUGGUGCAAGAAGGAAUGAGGGGGACCAACUGGUGGGACCCCAGCCCCAGGGGUAACACAUGACAAAGGACUGAUGUGAGGGGUUGAAGUUAGGAGAAGAGAGGAGGGGGCUAGAGGAGAUGGUUUGAAAUUGGCCACUUGAGAAGGAAAGGAGACCAGGAGGGAGGACUCCUUCAUGCUGGCAUGGGUGAGCAGAGAGUUCUGUUCCAUCCAGUCAGGGACCCACAGCUUCAUAAGGUGGACAGGGCAUCCUUGGCAGUGCAGUUAAGCAGUGGCUUCAGGUGCAAUUGGGAAAGGGUAGGGUGGGGAUGGGGAAAGCGUCUUUUAUCUUUGGUCCAUCUGGCAGACCUGUCAUUGGGUUGCACUUUGGGGCAGUGGGCUCUGCUACAGCCUAUUAGGUCUCAGCAGGAGAUCUUGGGUGGCUCUUAUCGCCCACAGGCACUGUCUGGUCUUCCACAGGUCAAGAAGCCAAAAUCCUGGGGGUUGGACACCCCAUUCUCUUGCAGAUGAGGCUGGCCUGGACCCCUGACUGGGGGACCAGGUGCCAUACAUCGAGACUUGUACUCAGCAUGGAACCACCUAGAAAUCCAGAAUCUGGCUGGGGCAACUGCAGCUUUGCAAGGACAGGGAUUGAGGAGCAGGCAGCCGGAUUGGGUAUACCCAGGUGGGAGGGGCAGAUGUGGGGCCUCCUGUGGACUCACCUCCAGGACCCAGGCUUCCCUGGGCACAUGCUUGCCUUCCUCUUCCUCCCACGCCCCCCACUGUGCCAUUGCACAGGGGAGUUGUCUGCCCAGAUCCCUGCUGCCUACCUUCCUCUUGACUGUCAUCUCUGCCCUGGCCCCAGGAAUGCUGCUGUCCUGCUCUGGCAGAGAAUGGCGGUGAGACACCUAGCCUAGGAUCUGGCUCUCAGCUAAGCUGUCAGUGAACUUAAGUGCUGCCCUCCCUGGUCCCUGUGGCAUGAAGGAAAGAAGCUCAGAUGUGUCCAUCUUGGCCUCUCCAGCUCCCUGCACACUGGGCCUGGUGCUCAAUAGGUGGCAAAAGUCCGCUGACCAAAUGAACAGCAGCCAGCCCUUGCUCUCAGUGGCCAACAGGACAUCACCAACCAGGUUCAUUAUGUCCCACACAUUGUAGCCUGGCCCCCGGCCUGUAGAUCAGUCCUCCCAAACACUAUAGGAAAUGGGGGGGCACCCUACACCCACUCUAGGGGGGACCUGUCAAGAGUCCAGGGGGUGGCAGUUGUGGAGGGGAUCAGUGACAUGAAUCCUGUGGGGGAGGCAGCAACAAGGAGCUCAGAGAACAAGGCAAGCCAAAGGAGGGGGACCCUCCACCCCAGCUUGCCAUCUCCUGCACUGACCCAUUGCCUGCUGACCAUCCUUGAAUGAACUAGUGCAAACCUUCAUCCAAUGACUGAAACAGGCUCUAGAAGUUUCCCCAGGACAUUGUCCUCCCCUGCCCCACCUUUCCCAGUAUAGCAAGGGCCUGGGACCCAGAGGCUGCACUGGUAGGCCUGGGGGUGGAGGGAGAAAACAUUAUUAGAUCUAUCUUCCUUCCAGGACCCAGGCCUCCUGGGCCUUCGCAUUCCAGAGUAGGAGCACGUUCAACCCACACAGAUGCUUCCAUUCCAGGGCCAGGCCAAGGUCACGAGGAACUAGAAACUACUUUUCCCAAGAAAGGCACCAAGUAGAAGCCCUCCAGCUGUCCAUGGGGGUAAAGCCCCUCUGAGUUUGGUAGAGGGGGUUGAAAGCUGUUGACAACAUACUUUAAAUAGGGACUUCUCUCUCUGCCCUGCACACCUCUGGGCUGGAUGAUUCUUUGUGGCAAGGGACUGUCCAGUGUAUGGUAAGACAUCAGUAGCAUCUCUGGGCUACUCUUGCCUGUUGGGAGAGCCAAAUAUCCCUCUGGGUAUCACCUGGUAUCUUGGGAGCCCUGCUGAGAAUCCUCAUUUUGCAGAAUAAAACCCAUGUGGAUGUUAAGGGCCUUGGGUCACAUUCAGGUAUGUAGGGAGCCUGCUAUUCACUUGGUGGUUUUUUGGUGCAGGGGAUCAAACUCAGAACCUUUUGUGUGCAAACCUUUACACCUAAAGGACACUCCUAGCCCCAAGCCUGCUGUUUUAUGUGCCCAGUCCCCUCUGCCUGGAGUCCCAUCCCCCAGCAUUACCUGCCAUCUUCCAGAACUGAACCCACAUCACCUCCCCCAAGAAUGUUCUGUGGACCUUCAUCUUAUGGGUUUGAUCACCAAGGUAUUGUGGAAGGCAAAUUAAUGCCCCUUCCUAUAAUGUCCACAUCCUUAUCCCCAGUACCUAGGAACAUAAACAAAGGGAGUUUGUAGGUGGGAUUAGAGAUGGGGGAUCAUUCUGGAUUAUCCAGUGGCCCAAUGUCAUCAAAAGGGACUUCAUAAGAGGAAGGCAGGAGAAUCAGAGACGGAGGUGGAAGCACUGAUCAGAGAGACUGGAAGACGUCGACUACUGGCUCUGAAGGCGGAGGAAGGGGCCAUGAGCCAAGGGGUGUGGGCACUUCUAGAAGCUGGAAAAGGUAGGAGGUAGAAUCUCCCCAGAAGCCUUCAGAAAGAUCCAGUCCUGCUGAUACCUUAACUUUAGGACUUCUGACCUCUGACACUGAAAUAACAAAUUUGUCUUUCCUCUCCAAUUAAAAAAGUUACCUACAAAGUCUCUGUGUUAGCUUUGCAUUGUUAAAAUACAUGCUGCAACUAGCACUUUUUUCCAAAGACUGUAGACAAGUUUGUCUAGGAAAGUGGGUACAUUCAAGGGAGAAUGGGAGCUGUCUCAAGAGGGAUGCCCAGGGGGUAAAGCAAGAACUCCACAUUUAAGGGGGAAUGGGAGCCGUCUCAAGAGGGUCUGGAAGGUUAGUGAUUACUGUGGGGUGGCAAUGGUGGAUGAGCAGAGCCAGGCGUGGCUACCCUUUCAGCCAUUCCCCUACAUCUUGCCUUGCCCUCACCUUACGAGGACAUGUUGCUCAGGAACCAAGGUGACUGCCUUAUAAAGACAAAAGGUUUCUUCAGCUGCACAGGUUCAAGAUCAGGUGACCCCACUGUUUUAGACCUUGAGGGAACUGGAUGGCCAUGGUGGGAGUGCUCUAGGAGCAAGAGUCUCUUCUCAAACCAGGAAGCAGGGACAGACCAAGGGCCUGGGGUUCCGUGGGUUCCAACAGAUCCAAGAAAACACAUGGAAAAUUAGAAAAUAUUGAAGAUGAAUGAAAAAAAAAUUAUGGGAUGCAGCAAAAGCAGUGCCUACAUUAUAUACAAAGAAAUUUUUAACUAAUAAUCUGAAUUUACCC